rnacentral:rRNA from 1 species
UACGGAGGGUGCGAGCGUUAAUCGGAAUUACUGGGCGUAAAGGGUGCGUAGGUGGUUUGAUAAGUUAGCUGUGAAAGUCCUGGGCUUAACCUGGGAAGGUCAGCUAAGACUGUUGGACUUAGAGUAUAGGAGAGGGUAGUGGAAUUUCCGGUGUAGCGGUGAAAUGCGUAGAGAUCGGAAGGAACACCAGUGGCGAAGGCGGCUACCUGGCCUAAUACUGACACUGAGGCACGAAAGCGUGGGGAGCAAACAGG